AAUACCAAACAGAACCUUUUCUUUUCUAAAACAAGGAUGGGGAAGUGGUUCAGUGGGUAAAGUACUGUGAAAGCAUGAGGCUCAGGGUUCAGAUCAUACACACCCAGGAAAAAUGUCAGGCAGAGUAGCACAGGCCUGUGAUCCACACACUGGUGAGGUGGACAGAAGAGGUUCCCUAGCGUGCACUGGCUAGUACAAAUCUGGCUAGUUGGUGAGCUCCAGGUCCAGUGAGAGAGGCUGUUUCAAAAAAUGGGGGAAAGAGCUGAAGGAGACCCUGUAGCAUCAGCCUCUGGCCUGCAUUUACGCACAAUCAAAAGAUGCUAAAGAAGACAGUCUUGAUGCCAAAGAGUCUUCCCCCUUAGAACAAACAGAAAUCUCUAAUAGCUCCUAGACAUACACACAGAUUCAUUCAUUCUUUGUGUGUAUGUCUGUCUGUCUGUCUCAGUCUGCCUGUGUUGUGAUAUGUGUGUAACUGCAUAGAGCCUGGGAGUACAUAGAAUCCUAACAUAGGAUAGCCCUGCCAUGAAAAGAUUGUGAUAUGGUUAUGAAUAAAUAAGGACCACUUCAGUAACUAGCAAAACCUAACAGGCAACAUGUACCUUAGUGAUGAACUACAGUGUAUAGUGAUUUUCAGGGAACACUUCUAAUGGUGAUUUGGCUGCUACUUAUAACACUGCUGUAAAAAUAUGCUUAAAUAACAUUGAGACUCUCAUUUCAACCCUCUGGGCAUAACUCAACUCCAUUUUGAUCUCAAUCAUAUCAUUUCUUACUUAGAAACUAAUAUACCCUGCAGUGCCCUUCAUUUCUAUAAAGGUAUUCAUCAGUCCUCCAAGGACCAUUUUGGAUCUCUUGCCAGAUCAUAGCCUCCUGCUACUCCUGCUGGGUUUUUUUUUUCAUCUCUUCCCACUUGACUGAAUUAGAGCUCCCCAGAGCCUUACCUGCCCAGUCACGCCAUCAGGUCAGUGAGUGUCCUGCUCUCUGUGUGUUCUUGCUUGCCCCCUUCUCUGGAUGCUAAGGACCAGACUCCGCCUCCACCUAUGAAAAGCUCCCAUUCUACCCUGGGUUACAGUCCUCACCUUUUGUAUGGUUUUAAGAGUGUUAGGGAUUAUUUUCCCUUCAGCUUAAAAGGGGAAACCCUUUUUCCCUCCCAUUAAGCCUUGAAAUAAUGCUUUAAGGCUUAUGUAAAUCAUGACCUACUGGAAGAAUUUUACUGUGAAACACUGAUCAAAUUAUACAUCUUGGUGAAAACUACCUUUCUAUUGGAAGACAUACAAAAGAAACGUUUUUAAAAGAAAACGAUUGCUUCAUUAGAUUUAUUAAAGUUCCUUGCAGACUUUGCUUUAAUAUUCUGAGUUCAUGCAGUUGUGUUCAUGCAUAGACUGUGGCACUUCCUUAGGAAGAAUGCUCCUGCUGGUGCUGUCUGUGGUACCCACGGACAACUGGAGGCAAUUCAUGUGUGAUGGUUGCUGAAACUUGGGAAAGAUUAAUUAUUAUCUCUAACUAUGGCUAGAGUUUCAAAGGCCAGUGGAUUUUUUUUCUCUUACAGUUGUUAAUUUUUGUCAUAUUGGUCAAUGAUUUUGAAAAAUACUUUGAGAAAAUCACAUUCACCUUUAAUUUAGAGAAUAAAAAGAAAAUAAUUUGAAAGCAUUGGACACAGAGCUGGAGAUGUAGCUUAGUUGGUAAAAUUUUGCCUGACACACACAGCACUCUGGUUUUGAUACCUAGCACAACAUUUUAAAAGGGCAGAAGGAAACAGUGUGACUUCCUUGUGAUUUCAGCACUUAACAAGUGAAGGCAGGAGGAUCAGAAGUCCAAGCUCAUUCUCUUCUUCACAGCAGAAUUCAAGCCAGUGUCUGGCUACAUGAGACCUACGUGUGUCGUUGCUGGGGUUUUACUUGUUUUGUUUGUUUGUUUGUUUGUUUGUUUGCCUUGAAAGUAUUUACCAUUGUAUUUAUUCUAUUUAUUAUUCAACUUAGCAUUUUUAAAGUAAUACAACAAAAUAAUCAAAACAAAGAGAAAAUGGAGGUAGAGAAUAAAGAGCAAAAGGCUACAAAAUGCUGCUUCAAGUAACUAGGAUGCUUAUAAAGUGACUUAAAGGAUUCUUCAUUGUACCUUAGUGAUGCUCUUUGUUUACAAGCUGUUUUGUUUAAAAAUAGCUGAAACAAAAUAAUAGAAAACUGAGUGCCUCUCACCAUCCUCAUCAACAGCACCAUACAAGCAUCACUAAGCAGGAAGGCUAGUCCAUGCCAUACAUUUCAGCCCUUUCUACCUUCUCUCACUGUUCUUUCCCUAAUUAUGUCUUGUAUGUGUUAGUGUCAUCAAUUUGCCUGUUAAUGUUCACCUUGAUUCUCAUUGAUUUGAUUGAUCCAAUCUCAGGGUAAUUAUUUGUUGUAUUUAAUUAAUGGCUGCUGCCACAUUCCGUGUUGCUAAUGUAUUACCCUUAUAUGUAAUCUUUUGUUCCUUAUGUUUACUCCUCCCUUUAGCCUGGUUUAUUCAGCUUAUGUUAUCAGUUCAUUAUAACUGUUGAAUGUCUUCACUGUUCUCAUUUAAUGACUUCAUUUUUUUCCCGAUUUAUCCAUACCACCAUUUUCCUUAAAUAAUUAUCUCUCCCCACAUCUGAUGGCUAAGAAUCAUCGUGUUUACC
rnacentral:lncRNA from 1 species